rnacentral:rRNA from 1 species
GGGAAGCGACCAUGUGAAUGCGAGCAAAUCCCAAAAAUAACGUCUCAGUUCGGAUUGUAGUCUGCAACUCGACUACAUGAAGCUGGAAUCGCUAGUAAUCGCGAAUCAGAAUGUCGCGGUGAAUACGUUCCCGGGUCUUGUACACACCGCCCGUCACACCAUGGGAGUCGGGAACACCCGAAGUCCGUAGCCUAACAGCAAUGGGGGCGCGGCCGAAGGUGGGUUCGAUAAUUGGGGUGAAGUCGUAACAAGGUAGC